UACGUAGGGCGCAAGCGUUAUCCGGAAUUAUUGGGCGUAAAGAGCUCGUAGGCGGUUUGUCGCGUCUGCCGUGAAAGUCCGGGGCUCAACUCCGGAUCUGCGGUGGGUACGGGCAGACUAGAGUGAUGUAGGGGAGACUGGAAUUCCUGGUGUAGCGGUGAAAUGCGCAGAUAUCAGGAGGAACACCGGUGGCGAAGGCGGGUCUCUGGGCAGUAACUGACGCUGAGGAGCGAAAGCGUGGGAGCGAACAGG
rnacentral:rRNA from 1 species